GCCUCCGUAGCUCAGGGGAUAGAGCGUCUGCCUCCGGAGCAGAAGGUCGUAGGUUCGAAUCCUAUCGGGGGUACCA
rnacentral:tRNA from 5 species